rnacentral:rRNA from 1 species
GUAGUCAUAUGCUUGUCUCAAAGCUUAAGCCAUGCAAGUCUCAGUACGAACUGACUUAAAGUGAAACCGCAAAAGGCUCAGUAAACCGGUCAUAGUUUACCGGAUAUAUGCCACUUACGUGGAUAACUGUGGUAAUUCUAGAGCUAAUACAUGCAAACAAGUCCCGACCAGCGAUGGGGAGGACGCUUUUAUUGGAUCAAAACCUUUCGCCCGGCCUGCCCGGGCGUCGGCUUGAUGACUCUAGAUAACACCACAGAUCGCACGGUCACAGUACCGGUGACAUAUCCUUCAAAUGUCUGACUUAUCAGCUGUCGAUGGUAGACUCUGUGUCUACCAUGGCGCUCACGGGUGACGGGGAAUCAG